CGGGCCCCCCGGGAUGAGGGGCUCCGGGAAGAGCCCAGCAAGACCAGCGGGGCCUGUGGCGGGAAGGAGGGAGCGAGGCCGGCUCUGCCCGGUGCAUGCAGCUGCCCGCCCUGGGUGUACUCAGCUCCGCCUGCACGCAGCCUCCCGCAGCCCAAAGCCAGGGCCCAAAACCACAGCCAGCGGCUCAGCGGGGACCAGUGGCAUUAGGAUACGUCAGAGGGAGAAAAAUACAGGUCUGCUGCAGAAACAGCCGCCUUGGCAGGGACCGGCAACCAUGAGCUGUUUGCUGUUCGGAUCCCAGAUGCUGCUCAGAACAAGCCCACAGAGAGAGCUGGGAGUCACCGACAUCCUUGCUCCAAAUGGCAGCAGAUUCCGUGAGAGCCACCCAACGCCCGCGAGGACUCUGACAGUCGAAAGCCACCGGGAACAGGUUGGGCCGCCUUGGGAUCACCUUGAGCAGGGCCAGCCCAGGCCUGGGAAUGGGCCGGAGACAUGUGUGUCACUGUUUGCUCAGCCUGGGUUGGAGCUGCGCCUUCCUUCCAGGGAUUUUCCAGGGCCCUGGGCUAUGACCCCGACCUGUCCUAUAGACCUCUUAGAGGUGCCUCAGAGGAGGGUGACGGCACAUGCACGCCUGAGAGUGCCACACUCAGGAGGCUGAGCCAGGAGGAUCGCUGCUAGCUCUAGGCCAGCCUGGGCAACACAGCGAUGUCACGUCUCAACAAACAACAACAACAACAAUAAACACAAAAUAAACCAGAAGCACCUGAAGCCUCUGCUUUGCUGCUGUUCUGGCCUCUAAGUGGCUGUGUGGCCCUGGGGAAGACGCCAGAAACCACACUGAGUGGAGAGAGAGGCACCUAAGGGCUCCUUGCGGCCCUGCGGCAAAGUGAGAGACCAGCAGGAAAAUGUAUGGCAACAAAUGUAAGCGCACCUUCACUUGGAGUUCGGAGGCCUAGUCAAUGAUUACAUAUUUUUAUUGUUUGCCGGAGUAAGGGAGAAGGGAAGAGAAGGAGGAGGCGGGGGAGAGACAGCGAGAGAGAGCGAGAGAGGCUUGAUUUCUUGAUCCCCAACCCUGGAUUUUAAGGUCUGCCAGGGUUUUGUGUUUGUGGGGACAUUGGGGCUGGGCCGGGUGACAGGGAGGCGACAGCCCUGCCAGCCCUCUCCCAGCCUCCAGAUGACAAAGGUUGCAUUUACACCUGGCCCAGGGUUUAAUCAUCUACCAUUUCCAAACACAGCAGGCUAACAACCUGUUGGCUGAGGAUCAUAAAUUUAGAAAGUUCACCCACAGGAGACGGCCCGGGAAGGGAAGAAACAGGUCGGUGUCUUUGCUCCAGAGUGUGGGAGAGGCUGGAGCAGGCAGUGCGGUCUUGCCGGGACCAGGGCUGACUUGCUUGCUUUGUGUUUUGAGACAGGGUCUCCCAGUGUAGCCCGGCCUGGUCUCGACGUCCCCACGGAGCCCAGGCUGGGACCCCCAGCAGGUGCCGCCUUGCCCAGACUUUCCCUCCUGCUUUUCCCGUUGGUUUGAUCCGCUCAGAGGCCCAGAGCCCCCUGCAGGUUAGGGUCUUCAUCGUGAAGGUUUUAUUGCAGAGGGAAGAUCAAGCAUGACAUGUGCGCUCCGUGGGGGCCGCUGCAGUGAGAGCAGGGCCGGCAGACGUGGGACCGGUUCCUCCGCCCUCGGUCUCCGCGGGGCGCCCAGGUGACAGCUGGGACUCGCCGGAAGUUUCCUGCGCCCUCCUGGCUUCCCAGCCCUUCGUAAGCCUUGGCUCCGGCAGCCGUGAUGUCGAUGGCGCACGCCUGCCCACUUCCGACAGGGGAAGGGCGGGUCCCACGGGUCCACUUUCCUGCCUCCGUGCAAUGUCGCACACACGUGCUGUCCCCUGGCGCCCUGUGCCUGAGCCUGUGCUGGGCCAGCAAGAAAGGCGGACGGGGGUGAGGGCAGAUUAUAAAAGGCCUUGCCUACCUGCGGGGGAGGGGAGUCCGCACAGCAGCGGACCACAUCUUGAGCGCCUAGCGUUUGUGGAUUUUAGCCCGGACCAAACAUUCAGGGAGGCUGCCGGCGUCGGUAAUUCCUUUGAGCCACGGUUAUAUUGAAUUACAUCACAUCUUUAAUCAAGGCCACUGGAAAACUACACAGAACAUUUGUUCCACAUGGCAUGGGAAAGUUGAAAAGCCCUGCAGAAACGUGCCGGUGCCCCCACCCCUUCCUCUUUGUCCUGCGUUAAUACGACAUCCUGAAGUCACAGCCCCUUGGCCACCAGGAAGUGGAGCAGAGGAUGAAGUCAGAGGGCACCAGGUGCGCCGCCCUCUCCAGGGCUGGGGUCGGGGUUCCCCGAGUGUGACCUUGGGAGAGGCUCUAGGUGGUUCUGCUCUUGCUUACCUGGGCAAGCGGUGAGGCACUGGUGCUGACAGGUGGACGGCCGGAACCCAGGUGUCGGAGGGGUGCCGAUGUCACCACUCUGGGUGGCACCCGGGGCUGGGGGUGGCACUUUUCUGUUUGCUGUCACCACAAAGCCAAGACCUCUCAAACCCAGCCCCUCACCUGGUCCGGGGAAGGUGAGCCAGGGUGGCAGGCUUUCCUCGACCUGUGGGUGUUCCGGGUUUUGUUGGCUGUGUUUUCUGGAUACUUGGCAAGUUAGAAAAGGUCUGUGAAAUUCCAGUGCACAGGCCUGUCAUCCCAGCCCCCAGGAGGCUGAGGCAGGAGGAUCGUUGAGCUCAAGGCCAGCCUGGGCUCCACCGUGAGGCCCUGUCCCCCAACUCCCCCGAAAAACUCUUCCCUAAUGCUGGAAAAUAAAGCUGCUGGCUUUAGUAUAUCCCUCUUUUAGCUAUAAUUCCGUUAGCACCUGACAAUUCUUUUUCAUUCAUUUGGAAGACAUGUUGGCUAUUUUUUAAGGAGAAAAGACAAAAAUAGCUCCAAAGAUCCAAACCUUUGUUAAAAGGUCUAUGUCGUCAUCAUAGAAUCUUCUUUGAUUUGUUCUAAGCCUCAGAAAGGUAAAGUCUGAAGCCUACGUGGCGUUCAUGGUGGCUUUCAUGGAAUUUAGAAAAAGCGAACCAGACUCCUCGGAAAAUAUGUUUGGGAUUUUCCUCAGAACCCUGUGUCUUCUCCAAACGGGUGCUGGAAGCCCUCGGAUUAGGCCGCAGCCCUCCUGCUCCUGGCCUCUGUCAGAUGUGCGCGGGGGCUGGCCACCCACAGCUCGGGCUCUGUAAAUAGUGAAAUCCUCCCUUUGAGCGUGUCCUGCUUGCUAUCUCAGGGCGGCGACCACAUCACAGGGACAUCGCAGCCCGCCGGAGCCUGGGGAGGGGCUGGGGGCUGCAGGCCAGGACAGUGGGGGACGAUGGUGCCCAGAGCCUGGAUUCCAGCCUUGCACACAGGGCAGCCGGGCCGCUCACUCGCGAGGCUGCAUCUCCAGCUUCCCUUGUGCCCUGAGGUGGAAGGGGAGGGGAGGAGCUCAGUGAGAUGUGUGUGCGCAUGUUCGUGUGUCUCCUCGCGUGAUUUACUUCUUUUUAGUUAUUAUUAUUAUUAUUUUUUGUUUUUGUUUUUUGAGACAGGGUCUCACUAUGUAGUUGAGACUGACCUGGAACUCACUGUGUAGCCCAGGCUGGUCUCGAACUCACAGCCAUCCUCCUGCCUCAGCCUUCCGAGCGCUGGGAUUACAGGCGUGCGCCACCACGCCCGGCAUGAUUUACUUUGUGUGUUUGUUUUGUGAGGCAGGGUCUUGCUUUGUGUUCCAGGCUGGGCUCGAACUCACUGUGUAGCCCAGGCUGGACUGGAAAUCAUGAGAUCCUUCUGUCUCAGCCUCCCGAGGGUUGGGAUCAGACUUGUGCUACUCUGUCCGACUUUCUUCUUUUCCUUAGUGCAUGUUUGCAGCACAUGAUGAUAGCGCUCAUUAUAGGGAGCUGGAACACAUAUGCAGCGCGUCGGAAUUCUCUCUCUCCGGCAGGGUGGGCUUUCAUAGGUGACUCACAGAGAGACAGUUGGUGAUUCCCUGUCCCCGGUGUGCACACACCCAUUUUCAGUACGGCUCUGCUGUGUUUUCCAGUAGAGGCAGAACCUGGAGUUUGCCCACACUUUGAGGAGAUUUGGGGAUAGAGCAUGGAAAACCCUUCAGGCGGUCGUUUUACCUUAGGUUUCUUUUCUCCAGACUCUCAGCUCCUAACCUGGUUAUUUUCCCAGUUUUCUGCACCUGCAGCAUCCUCUGAAAAUCGCUUCUAACGCUUCACUGCUAAUGUAGAUUCAGGGUAGGUGGCGCACGCCUCCUAGCACUGGGAGGCUGAGGCAGGAGGAUCGCCAUGAGUUCAAGGCCAGCCUGGGCUACACAGUGAGUUCAAGUUUCAAGGCCAGCACUAUAGCCAGAUUAAAGAACUUGUGCUUUUAGCUUCUAGAAACGCUCAUAAUUCUGCCGAUAAUUACACUUCAGUGGCAGAGGACCAGACAAGCAGUCCCUGUUCAUAUCAGAACAGGAAGGGCUGGAUGCACAGGCCCGCCACUGGCCACGGCCCACCUGUAGGCAGCGGGGCUGGGCGACAUUUUCAGUCCUCUCCUCUGAGCCUGGGGACUUUGCCUCCAUGUGCCAGGCCGUGGUUCCAUCUUGCUCCCCUGAUCCCGGCUGGGCCCUCGGGCUCCUGUCCCUCAUCCGGGGUCCCAACCGAGUGUCUCCUAGCUGCUUUCUGUCCACGGGACAGCUCCAGCCCCGUCACACGGUGUGGCCUGGAGCCCCUCUGUCCCUUGUGGGAACCUGUGGGCUCUCCGAGUGGCAACCAAGGGUGGAAAGGCCGACCCCGCUUCGCCUUCUCCUGACUGGGCACUGGGGUGCCUGGCUGACUGGAGUGACCAGGGGAUGAUGGAGGUUUAUGAUCAAGGGAACCCCACAUGUCUCUGGUCCCUCUGAAUUCUGUUUGCAGACUGAGCAGUCUCUCCUCAAGUUUAUUUCUUUCUCUCCAGAACAGAAAUCAGGCUCCCAGGCUGGCUUUGAACUCCAGAUCCUCCUGCCUCUGCCUCCUGAGUGCUGGGAUGGCAGGCACGCGCCUCAGGACUUUUCUGUACCACGUCACUGUGAGCAGCAUGUUGCCGACUGCCCUGUCACACGACAUACCACCUGUCCCGGGUCUCGUUGUGGAGGGUCCUGGUCACUGGGCAGCCACUGACCCCAGCCUGGACCUCCCGCCAGUGCCACCUAUGUUAGGUCACUUCCAGCACCGAGGUUCCACUGCUGAUGUAGGAGGCUGAGACAGGAGGAUCUCAGUGAGUUCAAGGCAGACUGGGCCAUCUAGUGAAUUCAAGGCUGGCCUGAACGACGCAGUGUAAUCCUGUCUCCCAAAAAAUUGCAUAAAUAAAAUAAUUGAGCACAUCCCCAUCUUUGGUGAGCGUCACAUUCUGGAUCCCCCCACCCCAUGAUCCCCCUCUCCCACCUGCGGCCUGGGGUACGGGGGGACUUGAGGACCAAGUGACUGUGUCUCCUCCCACCGCGCCUUCCUCAUGCAAAGCCCA
rnacentral:lncRNA from 1 species